rnacentral:lncRNA from 1 species
CUUGCUCCAAGCGAGAACUUAGGACUCAAGACCGACACGCAAAGGGAACAAGAUCACGAUAGUGGAUUGUUCUAGCCGAGUGAUCUGAGUUCUAGACUGCAUUUCAUCGUACUUGAAUAGUUGUUCAGUCCUGCAAUUAACAUCCGAUUAGUAACCCUAAGCCAGCUUCAUUUAAAUCGAAUUUGAAUCACCUAGGCAUUCUUGUUACUCGUGUCAUAAUUAAUUCUCAAAACUCCACUUGUUUCUCAGCUUAACAUUGAACACAUAGGAGUAAAGAGUAAACUGCUCCUCUGGAUUGAAUCUCAAAUAUUACAAUUACCACUGUUAACUUGAUAGUAGCAAAGAUUCAUUUUUAGUGUAUCAGACAGACCAGGUUAACACUCCAAAACUAUCAACACAACACCAGUGAAUAAGUUUGAAAAUCUCAGAGAUACAACCUGGCUUGUUGGGAGAUGAAUGAAGCAUGAGGUGGUGAUGAGGGCCGAGCAACCCGUGCACGAAGCUACAACCAGAUUGACAAGCUGUGACGUAAAACAUACAGUGACUGCCACGGGAGACAACGAAACCCAUAAAAAGAGACUGCAUUCCGCAGUAAUAAGGCCAUUCGAGGAACCCAAACCAAGCACCAACAAACCAGCCACCGGGACUGAAGUAGAAGAGAUUCUUAGGACCAAAAUCAUAGAGGAGAUGGAAAGCCAAAGAACUCCAGAG